UAUGACUCAUUCAGGGACAGACAACUGCUUUUGAGGUUCUUCAAUGCGUGCCUUGGCCAACUGAGGCCCUUCACAGAGGAUCAAUCCCUUGUGAGCUGAGACCUAACAAGCGCUGCAGUUGGUGACAGAGCUGGUGCUGCUGUGGUGUGUAGACCUGAGAGCUGGGAAUGCAAUUUGGAAUCACACAUGAGACUGAGAGAUGUUCCAUCUGAAGGACCUGAGGUCUCCUCCAUCCUACCAUGGUGACAACCUGCCUUGUCCUGAAGCCAAGAGUAUCUCUCAGAGCCCAAUGGAUGAAGCUUACCUGGGAGCUGGGACUAGGGGAGGUCAACAGAGGAUGGAAAGACUGAGGGUGUGUGGGGAAGUGGAAAUGGGCAGGGCUUCUUUGUGGGCUAAAUAGUAACUUGAAAAGAAUAGCAAGAAUAAAGUUUUGCACAAGU